AACAAACAAACAAACCAAAAAGGCUAUAGUCCCACCCCAUUUUGGAAGUAGUAGCCUUGAAGGUAAGGGACCAUUGAGAAAUUAGCCUCAUUCUCAUAAACAGAAGCUGGAGCGGGAGGUGACAGUGGUGGCAGUGAAAUUGGUGGCCUGGACCUGCCAUAGUCCCAGCUGAGCCCCAGUCGAUGAGAAGACCACACUGAUUGAUGAGCCUAGAGGUUACAGCCUGCUUUUCAAGGUGAUAAUGAACUCACAGACUUCAGUACCACCUUCUGCUGGACAGUGUCAGGAUAUUAAUUGUUCCCUCCCAUAGCCCUGAAUGAAUACAAAGCCCUAAAUUGGUAAGGAAGUCUAUUGGACUGGUAGGAAAUAUUUCUCAUUGCCUGGGAAAGGAAGAAUUGGUUAGAUGGUGUGAAAUGCAACCGUGGGACUCAUAUCUCUGCCCACAGAUGCUGCAAGAUGGGGACCUAGACUUCUCGGUUUGUUCUCACACUACAGAAGUGCAGAAAUUUCAUGUGAGUCUUUUAAAUUAUCUUCCAUCUGUUUCUUAGAAGAUCAAGGGUUAGAGAAAGGUCUAAAGCUUUAUCUUAGCAAGUGCCGUAUGAUUAAUGUAUCAGUCCUGGCUUCAUCUCUC